AAGCGUUGAAGCAUAAUAGAGUACCGGCAAGCCCCGUUAUGCUGAGCUUUCGAGAGGGGUUGUGCAAUGAAACCUCAAGCCGGAGUAGGUGGAAACCGAACGAAAAUGCUCAGA
rnacentral:sRNA from 12 species